GUUUGAGAAUCAUCUGCCCACGCUUUGAUGAAAGGAUACUCUGCCCUGACUCCUGUUGAUUCCAAGAGGAACAGCUAGAUCUUCAUCCUCCACCUCAAAAAAAUGAAGUCUAACUUAUGACUGAUGCAAUGGAACACUUCAGCACCUAGUUUAAAGCCUCAGAUGAACUUGAACUCUGGUGAGUACAGGAAGUGUGUGGGCAACCUGAGUGACGUGGGUACAUGUGUAAUUAUUCUGCUGAAUGGGGCUUCCAGUUGCAUUUGGGAAAGUGUGCGGUUGGAUUAAAAAAAAUAAAAAGAACACAGUAAUUCUUUUUAUUUCCUUCUAUUAUAUUCCUUCUAUUCCUUCUAUUAUAUAUGUUUUAACUACAUAUUUCUUAGAGAUGUGAAAAGCUGCACUACUGUAGAUAAAAUACAUAAAAUGUGAUACAUUAAAGAUUUGG
rnacentral:lncRNA from 1 species